rnacentral:rRNA from 1 species
AGUGAACGCUGGCGGUAGGCCUAACACAUGCAGGUCGAACGGCAGCACAGUAAGAGCUUGCUCUUACGGGUGGCGAGUGGCGGACGGGUGAGGAAUACAUCGGAAUCUACUUUUUCGUGGGGGAUAACGUAGGGAAACUUACGCUAAUACCGCAUACGACCUACGGGUGAAAGCAGGGGAUCUUCGUACCUUGCGCGAUUGAAUGAGCCGAUGUCGGAUUAGCUAGUUGGCGGGGUAAAGGCCCACCAAGGCGACGAUCCGUAGCUGGUCUGAGAGGAUGAUCAGCCACACUGGAACUGAGACACGGUCCAGACUCCUACGGGAGGCAGCAGUGGGGAAUAUUGGACAAUGGGCGCAAGCCUGAUCCAGCCAUACCGCGUGGGUGAAGAAGGCCUUCGGGUUGUAAAGCCCUUUUGUUGGGAAAGAAAAGCAGCAGGUUAAUACCCCGCUGUUCUGACGGUACCCAAAGAAUAAGCACCGGCUAACUUCGUG